rnacentral:rRNA from 1 species
UACGUAGGGUGCGAGCGUUGUCCGGAAUUAUUGGGCGUAAAGCGCGCGCAGGUGGUGCGGUAAGUCUGUCGUGAAAUCUCCUGGCUCAACUGGGAGGGUGCGGUGGAGACUGCCGGACUGGAGGCACUCAGAGGCCGGUGGAAUUCCCGGUGUAGAGGUGAAAUUCGUAGAUAUCGGGAGGAACACCAGUGGCGAAGGCGGCGAUCUGGGCAGACACUGACGCUGAGGUGCGAAAGCGUGGGGAGCAAACAGG